GCCGUGUAGAACAGGCCCCUGCUGCCCAGGCUUUGCUGAAGUUCUGCAGACCUUCAGUACCUGCAAGGGGAUGCUGGGCGAGAUCCUGUCUGCAUUCGAGUUCAUGGAUGCUGUGUGCAUGCAGCUGGUCAGGCGCCAUCUCCACCUGGCCAGCCCGGUGCAAGAUCUCCACAAUGGAAGUUCGAAGCUAGCAAAAGCCACGCAAACCACAGGCUGAUCUGUCUGAGCCCCGGGAUUUGGCCCCAGGUUCCGCUUCAGCCACCAGCACCGUCUGCUCCUCCUCAGAAUCCUUCCUCCCCCUCGGCCCGCCUGCCGUGUCCCUGCCUCCCCCACGACAUGCCCCUUGAGCUGCCUGGGCCCUGCUGGCGUCCCCACUGCCUGUGUGACUCUUUGCGCCCCCUUCUCUACCCUGCCCCGCCCUGGUUCAGGGAGCGUCCAGGCCCAUCCUCAUCCUCAGGGCCUUCCCUGGCCCUUGCCACUCUGUGCCGUGACAUGACCUGAAGCUUCAGGCGGGCGCCUCCCCCUUCCGUCAUCGCUGUCCCCCUCUGUGAGGUGUCCCAGCCGCCUGAUUGCCGGAGUCCCAGGGUGCUCGGUGCUGUCGUGGAGCCUGGGACAUUCACUGUCUGGGAUCGAUUCCAGGGUUGGAGCCACACCUGGUCUGGGUCAUUCGCUGUCCGGGGUUGGAGCCACACCUGGUCUGGGUCAUUCGCUGUCCUGGGUCGAUUCCGGGGUCGGAGCCUCACCUGGUGAAGAUACAGAACGUGCUGCUGCCCUAACCCCGUGUGGUGUGCCCCCUGUCCCCGGGUGUCGUUCCCAUAGCCAGCCCUUGUCUCAUCUUGUCUCAUCCUCUAGAUGCUGUGGGCCCUGAGGGAAAGGAUCACAGAGGCGCUGAGCCGGGAUGGCUACGUGUACAAGUACGACCUCUCCCUCCCCGUGGAGCGGCUCUACGACAUUGUGACUGACCUGCGCGCCCGCCUCGGCCCGCACGCCAAGCACGUGGUGGGCUAUGGCCACCUUGACGGUAACCUGCACCUCAACGUGACAGCGGAGGCCUUCAGCCCGUCGCUCCUGGGUGCCCUGGAGCCCCACGUGUAUGAGUGGACGGCCGGGCAGCAGGGCAGUGUCAGCGCGGAGCACGGCGUGGGCUUCAGGAAGAGGAAUGUCCUGGGCUACAGCAAGCCACCCGAGGCCUUGCAGCUCAUGCAGCAGCUCAAGGCCCUGCUGGACCCCAAGGGCAUCCUCAACCCCUACAAGACGCUGCCCAGCCAGGCCUGACGGCCGCUCCCACUACUGCCAAGGCCCACUGGGGGUCAGCGGAUGGCUCUCGGGUGGGGGCGUUGCGGUGGCUCUGAGUGAUGAGCCGGCAGUGGGCAGGGGACCAGGCACCUGGUCGAAGGGACCAGGAGCCCGCACCAGGGAACUGCCGGACGCAGGCCCUCGGGCAGGAGCGUCUGGCAGAGUGGGGAGCGCGGCAGGCUCCCUCCUUUGCAGGGCGAGGUGGGGCCUCUGCAGCCGUCCUGGACAGGCCGGGGUGGCGGCAGCUUUGCCCACGUGGAAGCGGGCUGGGUCUCACUUGCGUGGUGGUCCCUGGCUCCACCUUGCCUGCUGCGGCCUGGGGAGCACUGGGUGGUUCUUCCACCUGUUUAAUGCUCAUUCCCUGGCAUGCGUGGGCAGCGGGGGGCGUGGGCAGGACCACAUGGGCCGUGAUCAUGGGUUGCCGAGAGGACCCGAGCGCUGUGGCUCUGCUGAAUGGAACUGGGUCCCUCAGGCCAUGGAUGCCCUCGGGAGGGGUGACUGGCUUGUGUCUGGGCCUGAGUGACAGGAAUGUGUCAUUUCCCGCAUCUUCUAGAGGGCUGCCAGCUGGGAAGACAGUUAUCAGGGCAAGCUGUGCUCUGAGUCUCGGGUUCUGCUUCUACAAAGAACGUGCGGUGCUGCGGGCGAGGGCCCCGGCGCGGACAAGGGCCGCUGCAGAGUGCGUUUCUGCUCGUCAGCCGCCCUGGGCAGCGGAUGGGCUGGGCGACACAGCUGGACGCACAUCUCCUGUCAUAAAUGUCCUGUGAGAAUCUGAAUUGGUUGCAG
rnacentral:sRNA from 1 species